CAUGCACUUGGGGGGGUCCCUCAGCCCGGAUUGUGAGAGGGUGCAAGUCAGGCCAAGGGACCCCACCAGUACACG
rnacentral:pre_miRNA from 1 species